GACGGCGCCGCCGGUCGUCGACGCAUAUUAUCCGUACCGUGUUUCGUGUUGCUAUCGUGUGCGCGUUCCCGGGUCUCUCUUCGCUAAGGAAUUACUAACCGACCUGAUCACGUUCGACUCACUCGAGCCUCGUCCAAGCGAAUUCUCAUCGAUCGGGAGCCGCUUACCACAGCUCCCUUUUUCUCGCGCGCAUCUUCAAGAUGCCCGCCAUCUUGGACACACUGUACACGCAAAUUGAAAUGCGUCUCUUGCCCAUUGGGUCGCGUUCUUUACGCGAUAGCGAGGGUUAUCGAUAAUAAUCGAUAUGUCGUCGGUAUUUCGCCGUCUUCACCAUGAGAUCUACGACUCGAGCGAAAAAUGGGAAAUUAUAAAUAAAUGAUACUGUAAGAAAAGCAGAUAAAUAUUCCUCUGUGUUUUGUUCUUAUUUAGUUUUACUGUAUCUGUUGUAUAAAACUGUUACAUUAUGUAUAAAGCGAAUAUUGCAAAUAUAAACGAAAAUAAAGUUAAAUGCAAA